rnacentral:rRNA from 1 species
UCAUUUAUCCAAUUAUGACACCUGAAAUAAGCAAGAAUACCCGCUGAACUUAAGCAUAUCAGUAAGCGGAGGAAAAGAAAGUAACAACGAUUACCUCAGUAGCGGCGAGUGAAGAGGUAAAAGCCCAAGAUGUAAAUCUGUUUGCAAGAACGGAAUUGUAAUCUAUGAGGUGACUCGGAAAGUCAAUGCUAGCCAUAAGUCCUUUGGAACAAGGUACCAUAGAGGGUGAAAGUCCCGUCUUUGGGUUAGCAGCGGCAAUACGAGACGCUUUCAAGAGUCGGGUAGUUUGGGAAUGCUGCCCUAAUUGGGAGAUAAACUUCUCCUAAGGCUAAAUAUUUAUAGGAGACCGAUAGC